rnacentral:rRNA from 1 species
AACGAACGCUGGCGGCAGGCUUAACACAUGCAAGUCGAGCGCAUCCUUCGGGGUGAGCGGCGGACGGGUGAGUAACGCGUGGGAACGUGCCCUCUUCUACGGAAUAGCCUCGGGAAACUGAGAGUAAUGCCGAAUACGCCCGCAAGGGGAAAGAUUUAUCGGAGGAGGAUCGGCCCGCGUUGGAUUAGGUAGUUGGUGGGGUAACGGCCUACCAAGCCGACGAUCCAUAGCUGGUUUGAGAGGAUGAUCAGCCACACUGGGACUGGGACCCGGCCCAGACUCCUACGGGAGGCAGCAGUGGGGAAUCUUGGACAAUGGGGGCAAACCUGAUCCAGCCAUGCCGCGUGAACGAUGAAGGCCUUAGGGUUGUAAAGAUCUUUCAGCUGGGAAGAUAAUGACGGUACCAGCAGAAGAAGCCCCGGCUAACUCCGUG